UUGUGUUCAUGCUCAGCUAGUUGCCAUGGCAAAUGCUGGAAUAAAAGGCCUUGGCAAUAGGGUAGGUAAAGGUUCUGAUACAGCCAGUGUGGUCAGAAAACUUGGCUCUAUAUCUGUAACUGCGCAUCAGCUUCUGGAUUCCCCACUAGACGACAGAAAGAAAAUCAGGUCUUCAUCCAUAGAAGAUCAGCUCCAUUCUUCAAGGUUCGAGAUGUGAGGCUCAACAUGCUGGAGGAAGAGUGUGGAAGGGAAGCAGCUCACAUCAGGAAGCAGAGAGAGAAACUCUACUCUCCAGAUACAAAAAUAUAUACCCCAUAGCCACGCCACCAAUGAACCUCUUCCUCUAGUUAUCACUAAGUUAAUGCUGAUUAAUUCACUGAUUGGUUAAGACUCUCAUAAUCCAAUAAUUUCUCCUCUGAACCUUCUUGCAUUGCUCACAUGUGAGACAUUGGGGGACGCCUCAUAUCCACACCAUAACAAUAUCUGAGGAGGCUGAACUUCAGAUGAAUGAAUGGAUCUGGUGCUCUCUUAGUGAGGUCUCAGACUGUCCAACCCAAUGGAAAAGAACAAUGGUAGAUACAGUGUUCCACGUCUGGGAUAAUAGAAUAGAAUGAGUUCAGCCUCUCAUCCGUACAACCUCAGGAAGCCACACAUCCUUUCAUUUGUCAGCUCCUGCAUAACGGCUGCAGCAAUGUGUUAGUUUUUCUAAACAGAAUGACUCAGAAAGAUUGUUAAAGAAUAGGCAAAGAUGCAUCUGGCAACUGCAAAAACAAAGGCAAGCAGGCAUCACCUGAUUAAUACCAGGCAGCUCCUGAUUCAUGAAUAUCAGCUUUUAAUGGGACAGAGAUGAGUUAUCAUGAAGAACAGCACAAUUCACAAUGGCAGUAUAACCGUGAGCCUUUUUGAAAAACACCAUCUUUAUGUGAACAUGAAUCAAACACAAAACUCAGAACCAGGAAGGAAGAUGGCCUGUGAUCACUGGACAUGCAGCUCUCAUUGUGUCCUCUCGGUCCUCCACACAAUUGUGGCCCAGUGACCGUGAGCUCAGGCUCUGAAGAAGAAAGCCAAGCUCCACAUCCUAGAUCUUGAUUCUCACCUAUGUGACACUGCUCUAGAUAACUAAUUUUUCUUCCAUAUAAAUAAAGUGGGGAUGAUGAUCUCUA